GCCCCAGACUCCUACGGGAGGCAGCAGUGGGGGAUAUUGGACAAUGGGGGGAACCCUGAUCCAGCGACGCCGCGUGAGUGAAGAAGUAUUUCGGUAUGUAAAGCUCUGUCAGCAGGGAAGAAAGAAAUGACGGUACCUGACCAAGAAGCCCCGGCUAACUACGUGCCAGCAGCCGCGGUAAUACGUAGGGGGCAAGCGUUAUCCGGAAUUACUGGGUGUAAAGGGAGCGUAGACGGCCAUGCAAGUCUGAUGUGAAAACCCGGGGCUCAACCCCGGGACUGCAUUGGAAACUGUGCGGCUGGAGUGUCGGAGAGGCAAGUGGAAUUCCUAGUGUAGCGGUGAAAUGCGUAGAUAUUAGGAGGAACACCAGUGGCGAAGGCGGCUUGCUGGACGACGACUGACGUUGAGGCUCGAAAGCGUGGGGAGCAAACAGGAUUAGAUACCCGAGUA
rnacentral:rRNA from 1 species